GCUCUCCAUCUAGACAUUGGGAUCCUGUCUGUGGCUACCCAUCUCUCAGAAUUUCUGGAAGAAAUAAUACUGUCCCCUUAGACUUCUGAACCCAGCCGGACCCCGCCCCGGGCCGCAGGGGACGCCCUAGGAACCAAGUAAUGGGGGGAAGGGGCUUAGACAGCGACCCCCAGUUCCCCGGGAAAUGUAGGGGAGCAGCCGAACUGAGCUGACCAAGGGGGUCGGCGCCCCAGGCUUCUUGGUGGCAUGCUGGGGCGCGGGGAGGGGGCGACUCUUACCCGAAAGCUGCCGAGCUGCAGGCGGCGGUCGGUCCGGGCGUCUGCCGUAAUCCACUAGGCGCUGCCCGGCUGCGCGCGCUCUCGGCGGCAGAUACCCGCUCAUGUUGGUGAAGAAACCGCGCCGGAAUCGCGCGGCUGCAGUCACCUCGAGCAGGCCGGCUGCUCCUGGCAGGCGGUGUCCGCGCCGGCGGGGGGCUUGGCGCCCAAGGCCCCUUCCAGGCCCUCCCUCGCCGGGCUCCCCACCAGCUCCGGAGGUGGCGGCUGUGCUGACCGAGUGAGCGGCGGUGGGGCCAGGCCGGGCGCCGGGCGGGAGCCGAGGCCGCGGCAGACUCCGCAAUCCCGCAGCCGGCGACUGAAGCCCACCUCUGCAGAGACAAAGGAGCUGCUCUGGUGAACUCCCGAAAGUAAAUGUCCUUGGCUGGCCUCCAGCAUUCCCCUCAUGGGCAUAGCCAUGCAGCCUUCAGAACCUUCCUGAAAGAGAUGCCCAAGGAUUCAGCAAAUACUGGGGAAGCAGAGGACACAAGAAACUUGGAUGUGAAAUAGCACUUCCUUCUGUAUUACAGAAUAAAACAAUAUUUUAAAUUAUACAAGCAGAUGGGGCAAGUUUUUGGGCCCUCACAAGCCCAGAAGACUUCACACAGGUAUACUGGUAUAUACAUGUGGAACUGAGCAAAGAAGUUGUUUAAUUCCAAAGUUUUUUGAGAAAUAAUCUCAGUAGUCAAUUUGCCUCAUUAUCCUCUCCCCAUCUUACCCAGAUAAAAGCAGAGCUUUAUGACCCUCCUUUUCAAUUUGGGGAAUGAGGGCUGCAAAGAGA